GACGAACGCUGGCGGCGUGCUUAACACAUGCAAGUCGAACGGAAAGGCCCUGCUUGCUGGGUACUUGAGUGGCGAACGGGUGAGUAAUACGUGGGUGAUCUGCCCUGCACUUCGGGAUAAGCCUGGGAAACUGGGUUUAAUACCGGGAAGGCGUCAUUUUUAGUGUGGUGGUUGUGAAGUUUUUUCGGUGUAAGAUGAGGCUGGGGCCUUACAGCUUGUUAGUGGGGGAAUUGCCUACCAAGGCGGCGAGGGGUAGCCGGCCUGAGAGGGUGGACGAGCACAUUGAGUCUGAGGGACGGCCCAGGCGCCGACGGGGGGCAGCAGUGGGGAAGAUUGCACAAUGGGCGCAAGCCGGAUGCAGCGGCGCCUCGUAGGGGAUGACGGCCUUCGGGUUGUAGACUCCUUUCGCUAGGGACGAAGCUUUUUUUGACGGUACCUAGAUAAGAAGCACCGGCUAACUACGUG
rnacentral:rRNA from 1 species